CCAUACCUUUGUGAGAAGUGCUUCUUGGCGUCUUCGAUUUUAUUUUGUUGUUUUGGAGCUAAAUUUUUGCUUUUAUAGUAGUUCAAUUUCUCCUUCGUGAUAUAUUCUGAAUUACCCUGCGAGCAAAGUCCUCUCGUAUUUCUUCUUGACACGACACGGAGAAGCGAGAGAGACUCUGCAGAACUUGUGUAUAUUCUUUGUGGAGCCGACAAUCCAAAAACGUG